GGGGGGCGGGGCCGGCGCGACCGGCGGGGCGGGGCGGACACUCCCACCGCGCACCUGCUUCUGCCUGACGUGUACCCGGAAGGUCGUCAGCUCAGGCUCCAAAUAUGUAACAGUGAGUUUCUAAGUGAGUCACACGGACGCGGUUGGUUUCCAGUGAGGCAUAACUCAUCGCUUCACUCUUCUCAACGGUUCCCUCUUCGGAAGGAAGCGCAGUCCGCAGCGUCGUCCGAGGGCGUGAUCGCCUGCGUCGCACCCGCGUCUCCAGUGGCCACCCCUUGUCCUACAGGAACGCGCAUCUGCUUAGCAGGCGCUGAGCCCUUGAGGAGGCCUAAAAUGAAUGAACGCGGCUGUGCCUCCUGAGCAGGCUCACAGUUGUGGGUGGGGGACAGAAGGGUGUCCAUGCCUAAGGUCGACGGCGAUAAGACAGACGUUCUUCCCAGGAGGAGAUCAGUUCCAGGUGGAGAGGUAUGAAGAACGAGGAACACUGCCCGGGGAGUUUCUUCCUCUGCAAAAUAAGGGAGUGUGUACUGAAUUACCGUUUCCAGCUCCAACAUCCAGGAUUUCAGCACUACCUGCAGAGUAGUGGGAGGAGAGAUAGAGGAAGAAGUGAAGAUAAGAAACCACUCGAAGCCGGUGUCUGGUGCUGGGACCGUGGUGGCUGGGACGGCAGCAGUCGUGCUGUCCAUCUGCUCUUCCGAGGGGUGGCACAUCCUAGCCUCUAUCUUUUCCCCAGAGAAGAUCCCCCUCGUCUGCUCUUCCCCCGUCUCAGCCUUUUAGUGUGUGAACAGUUCUGGUGUUACUCAGCAACGCUUUUGUUAGCGCCUUUACCAGCAAGUACUUGUUAAACACUUAAAUCUUACAAGUGGAAAGAAAAUUCCGUGGUAAAUUUAAGUACAAAAGUCAACCAAAAUUCUGAGUCUCGGACAAGACUGGUUAAAAAUCGUUCUACAAUGAAACUAAUAAAUUAAAUCAUAUAAAACUUUUAUUGCUUUGCAA
rnacentral:lncRNA from 1 species